rnacentral:sRNA from 1 species
AUCGUACUUGUAUACAUUAACUAAAUGAACCUUUAAAAAUACUUUUAAAAAACAAAUAAAGGAGAGAAAAAUGCUGGAGAUUGCUAAUAAGAGCUCUGGCUGCUCACUGAGAGGACCCUAGUUCAGUUUCCUGCACCCACAUAGUGCUGAAAACUAUAUGAAACUCUAGGCCCAGGGUAUCUCUGAUGCCCUCUCUGGCCUCCUGGGCAAGCAGAGAAAUAAAGAUAUAAUAAGUAAAUAUAUGUAUUUGAAAGAGAGAGGGCCUCUAUAUAUAGCCAGCCCCAGUUGUCCUGGAACUCACUAUGUAGCCUAGGCUGGGCUCGUCUCAUAGAGGCCCACCUGCCUCGGUUUCCCUGAGUGCUAUGAUUAAAGGUGUAUGCUACCAUGCCCGGUUACUAAAAAUCAGUUACACACACAUACACGAACAGGCACACACGGCAUGGUUCUGAGUCUCUAUUUCUAGGUCUCACAUUCUGACUCUGCGUGUGAAAAUUUUAGGACCCAAAUAUCGACCUCUUACUGUAGAGAUUGAAAACUCAAGAGUGACACGGGAGGACGAAGGACCCCAUUCCUAUGCAGGGGCAGUUUUGCUCAGAAGGCCCAGGUUCGAGUCUAGGCUUGGCCUCUCAGGAAGCAGGAGGGCUCAUUUCUCUCAGCUAGAGUAUCCUUCACCAGUCCAAGAUUGAUGUGGGGCAGAGCGAGCCUCCUAGGACUCUCCAGACACUCUUCAAGAGACAAGACAAUCACCGGUUUGGUUCGGACACCCCAAAAGCUGGAAGGAAAAAUCUGAUUCCACUCUGCAAACUGAUAUCCUGCAGUUUCCUAGGGCACAUCGGGAAAUGUAGUUGUGUUUAAAAAAAAAAAAGAAUCACUUCCGGGUUAAAGAAAAAAAAAAACGGGCGUGGGUUUAAGUCUUCCUCCAGUGGGCCUAGAAUUUUUCUGCUACCAGAAACUUGUUUUCUGGGUUCCGGUUGCUGACGAGAGCCGCUACUUCCCUCUUUGACUCAUGCGCAUUUGCGCAUGUGCAGCAUUCCCUCUCCGAGAAAAGUCAGCCCGCACUUGGUGUUCGGUGGCUCUUGCCUGGGCGUACUCAGUGCAGACCGCACUUCUUCCUGCCUGGAGUUUGGGGUUGUCAGGCUCCAACUGGCGCCUUCUCCUGGGACUUAGGAUGCCGGGGCUGCCCAAGCCGCGGGCCCAGCAGAGCUGGGGGGCCGGGCGGGGCCUGCCUGGCCCAUGAGAAUCUGCACCAGCAGGUCGGUGGCCAGCACGUGCGACGGCUCCUCGAAGCCGAUGGUAACGGAGCUGGUCAGUGAUCGGACUGAACAUGGAGUCCAGCGGGAGGCGAGCUGGGGCCGCCCCGAGCUCCGCUGCCAGUGGCUCCCGGGAGGACGUGGAGGUGGGAGCUUCCAUCAUGGACUGUGCUCGCUGGGGCUCCAGCUCUGUUGAACCCUCAGGUCUCCCGGCCGGCGACCACGAGGGGUCUCCAUAAGGCUGCGGCCCGGGUCCCAAUUCCUC